AGUGAACGCUGGCGGUAGGCCUAACACAUGCAAGUCGAACGGCAGCACAGUAAGAGCUUGCUCUUACGGGUGGCGAGUGGCGGACGGGCGAGGAAUACAUCGGAAUCUACUUUUUCGUGGGGGAUAACGUAGGGAAACUUACGCUAAUACUGCAUACGACCUACGGGUGAAAGCAGGGGAUCUUCGGACCUUGCGCGAUUGAAUGAGCCGAUGUCGGAUUAGCUAGUUGGCGGGGUAAAGGCCCACCAAGGCGACGAUCCGUAGCUGGUCUGAGAGGAUGAUCAGCCACACUGGAACUGAGACACGGUCCAGACUCCUACGGGAGGCAGCAGUGGGGAAUAUUGGACAAUGGGCGCAAGCCUGAUCCAGCCAUACCGCGUGGGUGAAGAAGGCCUUCGGGUUGUAAAGCCCUUUUGUUGGGAAAGAAAAGCAGCAGGUUAAUACCCCGCUGUUCUGACGGUACCCAAAGAAUAAGCACCGGCUAACUUCGUG
rnacentral:rRNA from 1 species